CCAACACGAACAUACUCAAAAUACUGUUGAUUGCUCCUAUCUAGCAUCGGAUCGACAACAUCUUCCGGUCGAACUGGCCUGCAACCCGGAAUUUCGAGAUUCUCUUUUUGAUCAACAAACUCUCCUUCUACCACCUGAUCAAGAAAAGGUAAAUAUAUUGUAAGAGCUAAAAACCAUGCAUUAUUAGGCAUAUAAACGUAUUUUGGAAUCCCAAGUUCUUUAGGGAUCUCUAAAGACUCAGUUCCAGACAGGUCGAUGAUUAUGGCGGCGGGACCAAAAUUCAGAGCAGAUAAAGCUGAACGGAAAGCUGGUCGGAUUUCACGCAUCAUAACAGAAAUUUGGGUAACGAUGGCGGCUUCUGGUUGGAUGAGACUGGAAAUGUCAACCGGAGGGGGUUGGAUGAUUUCGCAGAUCUUUGCAGUCAUGGCUGAUUGAAGAAGUUGAGUUUCAGUUUGUGAUGUGUUCGACAGUACUGUAAAAAUGGUUACUUCAAAGUUGCAGAGAGUGACAAGGCGGUUUCCUAAUUCAAGAACCGGAAUUAGGUGGCCUAAGCCAGGGCUUGAUAGGAAUACUAAAUGGGGUUUUGAGUUUGUUAUUUCCAUGGCCGAACAAGAGCUGGAAAUAGAGAAUAGUAGGAAUUGCAGUUAGUUAUAUGUAUGUAAUUUGUUUUCUUGAAAGGAAGUUUGUUGUAAUAUAUAUAUAGAUAUAUAUACACGCGCGUGCUACGAUUAUACACUUGAUUAUCCAGUAGUGUUGAUAAUAACUUUUUUAUUAUUUUUCUUUUGUUAAAUGCAUAAACAUAUUAUAUAUUUUAUAAAAAAAAUUAUCAUACUUGUAAUUUUUAUUUUGAUUAAUUGAUAUUUCAAUUUAUAAAAUGGCGUAUAAAAAUUUCAAUUUGUAAAAACUUUUCCAUUAAAUGUUUCAAUUUGUGAAAUUUGAUCAAUUAAUAUAUUUAUUAAAUAAUUAAAAAACAUGAAAACUAUUUACAAAAAGUUGUAUAACCCUACACAUCAAUCCAUAUUAUACAUAUGUAUAAAAACUAAAGAAUAAAAAAUUAUUGCUAGUAUGUGAAAAAUGCACUAUUAUCAAAAUAUGGAUAUGAAAGGUUUCUCGUAUUAUUUGAAUGCCAUGAAAUUUCUUUUAUUAAAGUGUACGGAUAUACUUAUGCAUUUAGAAAUUACGUUUUAAAUUUUUUUUAUGAUCAUAUUCUAAUUAGCCAUAAAAAUCAUCAAUUAUCUUAGAUUGAUUAAUAAAAGUUGUUUAAUAAUCAAUAAUAUAUUAAUUAAGGUGGUCAGCGACUUUAAUCCCUGUUAGAGUGAGAAUACAGAUUUGAUUCUUGAGAAGUGCAGCUUAAAAACCUUUAUACUACUGGGUUCGAGCUAAAGUUAUGUGAGCUAGUGUUUGGAUUGUCUAGUUGGCUACUACUUACAAGAGAGAUUCAACAAUUGAAUAAUGUCACAUCUUGGGGUUAAUUCAAUUGAAUCAAUAAUUAUACAUUGAAUGGUGUGUAUCAUUUUUGGACACUUGGUUAAUUUUGGAUAUGAUUUUUGUACACUUAGUUAAUUUUGGAUAUAUUUUGGUACAAUUGGUUAUUCAGAUCCAAUUAAUAUUGGAUUUGACAAUAAGUCUAAAUUGGUCACCUAAGCAUAAGUAAUUAAUACUCCCUCUGUCCCAUUUCAUUUGCUUGUUAUUGCUUUUUCAGAUGUCACCAAAUAUUUAUAAAUUUUUUAAAUUUAUAUAUUUAAAAAAUUAUUUUUCUAUAAUAACUUUUAUGAUUAUUCAUUAAAUGAAUGACUUUUAUUAAUAGAUUAACAAGUUAAGCAUAAAGAAAGAUAAAAUAAUUUUUAUUGACUAAAUUUUUAAUAUACAUGUUUUAUAAAAUUAUGCAAAUAAAAUGGAACAAAAAAAGUAUUUCAUAAAGCAAUAAUAAAAUAUAGAAAACAAAAUUGAUCUCCAAUCCAAUUACAACUCCAUUCAAAUUAGAAUCCAUUCCAUUUAAAUUCAGCCAAGAAAUUCAUUACAAAAAGGACGAAACAACCUUUUAGAGAAUUAAAAGCAAUAAAGAAUAAUAAAUUCAAUUCGAAAGGCCUAUAAGACUUGUAUCACUAAUUACAAACAAAGAGUAGCUCAACUUUAUAUAUUACUUUAACUUCAACUCAACUUUAUUAUUUUAACUUUGUGUCACAUUUAAUUUUUAGUUUGACUCAUCAAAUAUUUGAAUAUAUAAAAUUAUAUUAAUUAAACAUUUCAAUUUGCAAAAUUAUUUUAUUAAACACUUCAACCUGUAAAAUUAAAUCAAUUAAACACCUACUAAAUAGUUUAAAAUUUUAAAAUUAUUAUUCUAAAAAUUACACUAAUUCAAUAUUUUACAUAUAAAAGACCAAAACACUAAAAUCUAUUACAGUCAGUGUGAAGAGGUAUGCAAUUAUCAAAAUUUGUAAGUUUAAAUACACAAUUCAUCAUCUUGAAGUUUAAAAAGUAAGAGUUAAAAUUGUAAAAUUCAGGAGUUAAUUUGUGUAUUUAACCAUCUCCAACGUAAUAACAUGCCCAAAUAUACUCUUAUGUGUAGAAAGUCCAUUUGGUUUGUAAAGAGUUGACAAGCUCUUUCCCUUUCAAUUCUUUCUUUCCCCGUAAAAUCAUAGAUUAUUUUAAUUUAUUUGCUAGGUCUAAAAAAUUGAAAGUUAAAAACAAAAACUUUCUUCAACGUUGUUAUAUGUUAAGUGUGCGAGUCUGAUGUGUAAAAAAAAAAAAAGACGUUGUCCAUCACGCCUUCCGUUUUCAGAGAGCCUGUUCGACUGCGCGACUCGAUUUUCUUUUCUUAUUUUUUAUUUUCCUUUAUGUCUUCUCUUUUAUUCCCACACAAAUUUCUUCUUGCACUGAAAUUGGUUCUUCUUCAUGCAUUGGUUCUUCUUUAAAAUCUAACAUCUACAAAUACACAUUUAACUAUAUCGCUAUCCACAACUUCUAUUUAUUAAGACACAUCAGCCACGAUCCAUGAUUGCGUCGGAAAUACUCUAAGUAUUUAAUGGAUCAAACUAAAAGUUAAGGAUGCUAAAAUAUUAAACUAAAAAAGUUCAAAGAGAUCAUGAUAUUUAUAAACAUGAUAUUGCAUGUCAAAUGUGAAAUAAAAAGAACUAGCUUCCCUUUUUUCUCUUACCAGUAUCUAAUGAUAAAUCAUAUCAAGAUCUUGAAAAUACGAGAUAAUGUUGAAGUUAAAAAGGAAAUUAAUUCAAGAACCACAAGAUCAUGUGGACAUAGAAAGUACUCCAGUCAAUAAUCAGGCUUAUCACAUUGCUAACAUUAUUCAAAGAAGAUAAAUCAAUAAUUAAGAACUGGAACUCGGAAGCCACAAAAUUGGCUGGUACAUUACAAUAUCGAAGGUGACAUGCCUCAUGAGACACACAUCACGUGGGGAAGGGGUCCCUUCUUCUAAGAUGCUCCUUUGACCCACAAAACGCCACAAAAAAUUGCAGAAAGUCAGUUUGGUAUGCAUCAUCCAUUCACAACAAACAAAACUUUCACAUACCAAGAAAUGGGCCUACUAGUUCUUCCAAACUAAAUUACAACCAAAUUAUCCAAGUUCUUUCAGUAGCUGCAGGCCUUGUCUUUGGGGCAAAACACAUCUAAGAGCUCUUCUGCUAAAACUAAAUUUUUAAAUGAGCUUCUCUAUCUUUUCCACAUAUUUUCUUCCAUCUAAUUGCAAAAUAUACUUUUUAAGAUUAUGACAUUAGAAACAUAGUUUUUCCAAAUUCUAGAAUUAAAAUUUUUAAAACUUUGUCAAACAGUCUUAAGAUUUGUUAUCAACACAAGCUCUUCUCCUACAAGCCAAGUAGGAUGAUGAGCUUCUUACUGCAGGACAUUAAAAUUGUGUUUCCUUUAGCCAUAGUUAGCUCAGUUCAGUUUGGAGUGUUAGCCACAUUUAUAAGCCAAAGCAGAAAAAGAUAAAAUAGCAUAAGUAUACUAUGCUGAACAUUAGCUCAUAAGUUAUAAAAGAGCAGCAUCCAAUACCCAAAUGCAUUGCCAACAAGACUACAAUCUAUUGAAAAGUAAAAAUGAUCGGCUUCAAAUAGUUUAAGUUUGUGUUUCUUCAAGCCUACAGAUUAUAUAAACUCAAAUCCCAGAUAAGUUUAGUACACAAUCUUUGCUCUUGAUUGAAGCUAGUAAAGGUCAUCCUAAUGACAAUUUAAAUAGGAUACUAUAAUCAUCAAUGUAGAGUUGAAAGAAAUACUCUAAACAUAAACAGAUUAACGAAGAAUACAACCUUCUAAAUCACUUGCACCAGUCUUUUCCCCAUAUGAAAAUUUGGGGACCUUAUAUGGUCCUUCCAGGAAGGCUGCCAAUGAGUUGAAUCAGAUAGAUACAGAUUCCUGCCAUUGCUCCAAGAAAAAGGAACUGUACAUCUACAAGGAAAUAUAUAAUGAGGCCUUCCCAGAAUCACACAACUCACAUGCAUUCUCCCAGCAUCGCCAAUUCAGCUUGGCUAAGGUAAACCAAGUUUACCAUUGAGAAUGCACAACCUCCAAUUAUUUCCCUUCUUGUUAAAUUCCCAAACUUAAGAGCAAUCACUGGCUUAACCAUGAGCCUUUGCGCUCCCAGGUGUGAGCUCGAGAUCAUCCACUCCUAUUUCAUGGAUCCUCUCACCUUCCCAUGGCUUCACCCUGCCAUUCUCAAAUUCAAACUCUGACCCUCUUCCCCUCUCUGCACCUGCCCCCCAACCAAAUCCUCCAUGCCCAUGAUCAAUUCCAUCCUGAAACAUACUCUGCUGACCAAUUGGUUUGACAAGAUUAAACGUCGGUGAAGGAGGAGCUACUUGAGGAGCAACAGCCUGAAAACUCACCCAGCGACCAGAAUCAACAGUUGAGGCAUCCGAUUCAUCACAUUCUGGUAUAGUAGCUGGUGUAAGAUGCUGGCGUCGUGUAGGGCUUGAAGGGGCAGAGACAGGAAAAAGGGGAUGGCGAAAGGAGUUUAGUGGUCCAUUUGAAAAGGAUUCCCAAUCAGCUUUCCUCUUUGAACUUCUAUUAGUAGGGGAAGAAAGCGGUGGAGUUACAGGAGCACUAUUGGAUAUUCUAAGCUGAGGGAGGUUUGCAGGGAUCGAAGCUAUGUUACGGAGGAAAGGGAGAAGGUAUGUGGAAGGAUUUGCGUCGAAACGAGUAGGGCUCGGAAAUGAAGAGGAUGUUGGACUGACAUGGUAGGAAGGAACAGGACUAGGGAAAUUUGAGGAUUGUGGGCUAGGUUGAAUAGAGGAACAUGCACUGAUGUUUGUUGGAGUGCCUGCAAUCUCCAGUGGAGGUGGCUUAGAGCCCUGAAAGAAAAUCACUUGAAUUAUUAGUCUAAUUUUGGCAGAACUUUUGGCACAUAAUAUUGAACCUGGAGACUAUAUAUUUCUCAAGGAUCGUAUUUUUGCCUCUUAAAACCAUUGGCUACAUAUCUGUUAAUGGAUGUUAAGAAAGUGAAAUCAAGUCUAUUGAUAAGAAAAAACACAAAGAUCUCUUCAAAUAAAAUUUUAUCAGAUUCAGAACCGAUUAACAAGAUUUUUUAGAUCGAAGCUCAAAAAUGCCACAGAUAAAAAAUGAUUAUGAACAAAAUCAACCAAAAUUUAAAAUAUCUUAUACCAAAAUUGAAUUUGGUAUUGCCGUCAUUAACUAUAAGCACAUUCUCCAAUCUUAUACCAAAGUUCCCAUCCUCAUAGUAUCCAGGUUCUGAGAUAUGAAAUUCCAACACUAUGAAAAUCUUGUAUAGCAUAAAUAAAUAUUUUGUUCUUGAAAAGAGAAUAAAAAAAUCCACAGCUGAACAAUAAAUGUACGUCGUAUAUUCAGCGGUAUGACGUGAGGUUAUUGGCUAAUUUUAAAGUCUGACCGAAUAUGCCCUGGCAAAGUGCAGAUUUGAAAACCAGAACAAUUAUGAAUGAUAAAAUAAUUGAGAAACUAAAGCAUCAUGACUGUAGCUGUUACAAGUCAAAAGCUCAGUUAAAACUUCGUAGACAUGAAUGUUCAUCUGCCUAGGUUAAUAGGGACCAAAACCCCAGGCAGUCACCUUAUCAUACAUAAUGCAUAGUUAAUUUAUAGUUUUUACUUUAUAUAUAGAAACUGGACCUUCAAUAUUAUAUUGAUCUUUGUAUUGUUUCUUUAAUUUCAAUGCAUGAGGCAGAACUAGCAAUCAAAUAAGCUUCUUAGUUUCUGUCUUUUUCAAAAUUUUAAGAUUGUAAGAUUUAAAUUUCAGUUUGAUCCAAAGAAAAGGAUAUGUCUUUUUCAGUUUUGAUAAAAUAUAUGUUAUAUUUAUACAACAAUGUAAAAGCAAACUUGUAAUAAAUCAAUAAAACAAUUAGAUUAACAAAAGUGGAUUACAUUUCUAGAAGAACUCUAAACUUAGAUUAUAUAACCCAACGGUUGUUCAACGAGGACUGCAAUUAUAGUAGAAGAUUAGUUUUUGUUGAACCUCUAGAUUACAAUUGCGCAAACGAUUUGAACCUCCGAUUCGUUUAUGCACUUACCAAUAAAUUACAUAUGUUAAGACGUCACUAUAGACUGUACGUGGAAUAAAUAGUUAUUGUUCUAACCACUUCUGCAGUGAAAAUUAUUUGCCUAGCUAGUUUUAUAUAUCAAUUUUGGCUAAAUGCAUUAAUUUAAAAAUGAGAAUGAUCUAAUUUUCUUCGUUCAGGUCAAUGCAACUUUCAUUUUUCACUAAAAGUUCAUUCCUUCUUAAUUAAUGCCUUUCACCAAAUAACCAUACAUAUACGUAAAAGCUGCUGAAAAAGAUAAACGCAAUUGUCAAUAUGACAAUUAAAUAGUUAAACAAACAUAUUGUCUUAUAUAUUGUAAGAAAUUAAUCAAUUCAAUUCCCACCUACUAUCAUUUCCAAAUGAUUUUCUUCUUCGUUGGACUUGUUGAACUAUUAUAUAAUGGUUUGAAAUGCACAGAUGUUCUCCAUCUCUUCAAGAUUAUUAUUCUUGUCCUAUAUAAAGAUUGCAUAAACUCUUUCUCUCUUUCUGCCAUGGAGAUUUUCUUGAUAAUCUACCUUCUAUGUAUAUGUAUUCUUUAUACUACCUUCUACAUUUAUAAGCUAGCGCUCAAGAACAAAAACCGCACCUGCUAUAUGCUUGCUUAUGAGUGUUUCAGGGCGACAGACGACAGGAAACUCGACGCAAAAUCCUGCGGUAAAGUCGCAGCAAGAAACAAGAAUCUGAAUCUUGAUGACUUCAGGUUUCUUUUACGUGCAAUUGUUAGUGCUGGAAUUGGAGAAGAGACUUAUAAUUAAAUUUAACUUGAGGGUUUGUAACCAUAAACUAGAAAAAAAAAAGAAAAAAGUAGAAAAAAAUUUAAAAUAUCUUUAUUUUUAUUAAUUUAAUCCAUAAGUGGACCAUAAAUUUGAUAUAAGCAUAUAAGCAAGUACUCUCUCGGUUCCAUUUGGUUUGGAUAGUUUAACAAAAUACGCAUAUUAAGAAUUAGUCAAUAAAAAUUAUUUUAUUCAUCCUUAACCUUAACUGAAUAAAAUAUUAAUGAAAAUAUUUUAUUUAAUGACAAUCGUUACCUAAAUGGUUAUUAUCGGAAAAAAUAAUUAUUUAAAUAUAUAAAUUUAUAAACUUUCAAAACAAGAAUAACAAGCUGAGAGGGAGGAAGUAUUAGUUUUAACAGGAUCAAGAAUUAUAAGCAUCUGGGCAUUAAUGCCUACUUUUUAUUAAUUCGAAUCGGGUUGGAAGCAAACCACUUAUUGCAUUUUGUAAUUAGGAAAAGCCAAAACACAGAAUGACCAAGAGGAACCAUCUUCUAAUAAGAGAAACAUUUAUAUUAUUUAUUACAUAAACCAUCUCAUAUUUUCUACCGCCGAUUUUUGAGAUCGGUUAGUUUGAUGAAUAUAGUCUAUCGUUUCCAUCCUUUCUUGCACUCCCCAGCAAAUGAAGAUAAUGCAUUACAAGAGGAACCACCUUCAUUUAAAGCUCUUUCUGAAUUCUCUUUGACUUCUUUAACUCUUUUUCUUAUUUUAUCUCCUUCUUCUUCAUCAGCCAUAAUUUUUCUAAUCAUCAUUACAAUUUCUUCCCUUUUUACCACUCCAUUCGACGGUAAAAUCUUCGGUUUAACCGCUACCCCAAGCUCCUCUUCUAACAGCGUCGCAUUUAAUCUUUGUUCGGCGUAUAAUGGCCAUCCGAUGAUUGGCACUCCAUUGGACAGACUCUCCAAUAUAGAAUUCCAUCCACAGUGCGAUAAAAACACUCCAGUUGAUGGAUGGCCAAUGAUCUGAACUUGUGGGCCCCACCCUGGAAUCACACGACCGAUAUUUUUAGUCCUUGUUAAGAAUCCAUCUGGUAAAUACCUAGAUAUAUCGUCGUCUCCAACGUUUCCUGUAGUAAAAAAUGAACUGUCGCCAGUUUCUAUGGUGGGUCUGCGAACUACCCAAAUAAAUCUCUGGUGACUCAUCUCAAGACCAUAAGCAAUUUCCUGCAUUUGUUCAAACGAGAGUGUUCCACCGCUUCCAAAUGAAACAUAAACCACUGACUCCUUGGGCUGGUUAUCGAGCCAAUUUAGCAACUCACACUUUGAACCAACCUCAACCUUUCCGACCGCUCUUCUCACUGGACCGAUUGGAAAAACCGGAAUCUUAGUAGUCUUGUACAACAAGUUCUCGUCUCUAAGAGCUGCAAGUGUUGUUGGUUCUAAAGCUUCCCAUGUGUUUACCAAUAUCCCAUCAGCUUUAGGGAUUUCAUUUCCAAUACGAACAUACUCAAAAUACUGUUGAUUGCUCCUAUCUAGCAUCGGAUCGACAACAUCUUCCGGUCGAACUGGCCUGCAACCCGGAAUUUCGAGAUUCUCUUUUUGAUCAACAAACUCUCCUUCUACCACCUUAUCAAGAAAAGGUAUGUAUAUUGUAAGAGCUAAAAACCAUGCAUUAUUAGUCAUAUAAACGUAUUUUGGAAUCCCAAGUUCUUUAGCAAUCUCUAAAGACUCAGUUCCAAACAGGUCAAGGAUUAUGGCGGCGGGACGAAAAAUCAGAGCAGAUAAAGCUGAACGGAACGCUGGGCGGAUUUCACGCAUCAAAACAGAAAUUUGGGUAACGACGGCGGCUUCUGGGUGGAUGAGACUGGAAAUGUCAACCUGAGGGAGUUGGAUGAUUUCGCAGAUCUUUGCAGUCAUGGCUGAUUGAAGAAGUUGAGUUUCAGCUUGUGAUGUGUUCGAUGGUACUGUAAAAAUGGUUACUUCAAAGUUGCAGAGAGUGGCAAGGCGGUUUC
rnacentral:lncRNA from 1 species